GUAGGACGGUACUUAGCUUUCGGUUAAGAACUGAGGAAAGUCCGCCCACUAUAAGUGGUUACUCUUGAAAGAGAGGUCCUGAAAGGGACGGCAACGGCUCAGAAACGAAACCACCUAUGAAAUGGGAUGAUAUGGUGAAUCAGCAGGUGACUGCUGAAAGCUAACCCAUUGACGUCUUCAUAGGAAGGGUUGAAACGGCGAGUCCUGACUUGUGCAAGCCAAGAGGCGCUAAGUAUAAUGCUAAGAUUGACUGUCUGCACGAGUAGAAAACCUUCAACGGUUUGAAGCUAGCAGAGUCUAACAGAAGGCGGCUUACAACCGUCCUAC
rnacentral:RNase_P_RNA from 1 species